rnacentral:tRNA from 1 species
UGGCUCAGUGGUAGAGCACUUGCCUUACAAGCAUGAGGCCCUGGGUUUGAUUGCUCAG